CAGUCGAACGAUGAUGCCCAGCUUGCUGGGUGGAUUAGUGGCGAACGGGUGAGUAACACGUGAGUAACCUGCCCCUGACUCUGGGAUAAGCGUUGGAAACGACGUCUAAUACUGGAUAUGAUCACUGGCCGCAUGGUCUGGUGGUGGAAAGAUUUUUUGGUUGGGGAUGGACUCGCGGCCUAUCAGCUUGUUGGUGAGGUAAUGGCUCACCAAGGCGACGACGGGUAGCCGGCCUGAGAGGGUGACCGGCCACACUGGGACUGAGACACGGCCCAGACUCCUACGGGAGGCAGCAGUGGGGAAUAUUGCACAAUGGGCGAAAGCCUGAUGCAGCAACGCCGCGUGAGGGAUGACGGCCUUCGGGUUGUAAACCUCUUUUAGUAGGGAAGAAGCGAAAGUGACGGUACCUGCAGAAAAAGCACCGGCUAACUACGUGCCAGCAGCCGCGGUAAUACGUAGGGUGCAAGCGUUGUCCGGAAUUAUUGGGCGUAAAGAGCUCGUAGGCGGUUUGUCGCGUCUGCUGUGAAAUCCCGAGGCUCAACCUCGGGCUUGCAGUGGGUACGGGCAGACUAGAGUGCGGUAGGGGAGAUUGGAAUUCCUGGUGUAGCGGUGGAAUGCGCAGAUAUCAGGAGGAACACCGAUGGCGAAGGCAGAUCUCUGGGCCGUAACUGACGCUGAGGAGCGAAAGCAUGGGGAGCGAACAGGAUUAGAUACCCUGGUAGUCCAUGCCGUAAACGUUGGGCGCUAGAUGUAGGGACCUUUCCACGGUUUCUGUGUCGUAGCUAACGCAUUAAGCGCCCCGCCUGGGGAGUACGGCCGCAAGGCUAAAACUCAAAGGAAUUGACGGGGGCCCGCACAAGCGGCGGAGCAUGCGGAUUAAUUCGAUGCAACGCGAAGAACCUUACCAAGGCUUGACAUACACCGGAAACGGCCAGAGAUGGUCGCCCCCUUGUGGUCGGUGUACAGGUGGUGCAUGGUUGUCGUCAGCUCGUGUCGUGAGAUGUUGGGUUAAGUCCCGCAACGAGCGCAACCCUCGUUCUAUGUUGCCAGCGGGUUAUGCCGGGGACUCAUAGGAGACUGCCGGGGUCAACUCGGAGGAAGGUGGGGAUGACGUCAAAUCAUCAUGCCCCUUAUGUCUUGGGCUUCACGCAUGCUACAAUGGCCGGUACAAAGGGCUGCGAUACCGUAAGGUGGAGCGAAUCCCAAAAAGCCGGUCUCAGUUCGGAUUGAGGUCUGCAACUCGACCUCAUGAAGUCGGAGUCGCUAGUAAUCGCAGAUCAGCAACGCUGCGGUGAAUACGUUCCCGGGCCUUGUACACACCGCCCGUCAAGUCAUGAAAGUCGGUAACACCCGAAGCC
rnacentral:rRNA from 1 species